rnacentral:rRNA from 2 species
AGAGUUUGAUCAUGGCUCAGGACGAACGCUGGCGGCGUGCCUAAUACAUGCAAGUCGAACGAACUCUGGUAUUGAUUGGUGCUUGCAUCAUGAUUUACAUUUGAGUGAGUGGCGAACUGGUGAGUAACACGUGGGAAACCUGCCCAGAAGCGGGGGAUAACACCUGGAAACAGAUGCUAAUACCGCAUAACAACUUGGACCGCAUGGUCCGAGUUUGAAAGAUGGCUUCGGCUAUCACUUUUGGAUGGUCCCGCGGCGUAUUAGCUAGAUGGUGGGGUAACGGCUCACCAUGGCAAUGAUACGUAGCCGACCUGAGAGGGUAAUCGGCCACAUUGGGACUGAGACACGGCCCAAACUCCUACGGGAGGCAGCAGUAGGGAAUCUUCCACAAUGGACGAAAGUCUGAUGGAGCAACGCCGCGUGAGUGAAGAAGGGUUUCGGCUCGUAAAACUCUGUUGUUAAAGAAGAACAUAUCUGAGAGUAACUGUUCAGGUAUUGACGGUAUUUAACCAGAAAGCCACGGCUAACUACGUGCCAGCAGCCGCGGUAAUACGUAGGUGGCAAGCGUUGUCCGGAUUUAUUGGGCGUAAAGCGAGCGCAGGCGGUUUUUUAAGUCUGAUGUGAAAGCCUUCGGCUCAACCGAAGAAGUGCAUCGGAAACUGGGAAACUUGAGUGCAGAAGAGGACAGUGGAACUCCAUGUGUAGCGGUGAAAUGCGUAGAUAUAUGGAAGAACACCAGUGGCGAAGGCGGCUGUCUGGUCUGUAACUGACGCUGAGGCUCGAAAGUAUGGGUAGCAAACAGGAUUAGAUACCCUGGUAGUCCAUACCGUAAACGAUGAAUGCUAAGUGUUGGAGGGUUUCCGCCCUUCAGUGCUGCAGCUAACGCAUUAAGCAUUCCGCCUGGGGAGUACGGCCGCAAGGCUGAAACUCAAAGGAAUUGACGGGGGCCCGCACAAGCGGUGGAGCAUGUGGUUUAAUUCGAAGCUACGCGAAGAACCUUACCAGGUCUUGACAUACUAUGCAAAUCUAAGAGAUUAGACGUUCCCUUCGGGGACAUGGAUACAGGUGGUGCAUGGUUGUCGUCAGCUCGUGUCGUGAGAUGUUGGGUUAAGUCCCGCAACGAGCGCAACCCUUAUUAUCAGUUGCCAGCAUUAAGUUGGGCACUCUGGUGAGACUGCCGGUGACAAACCGGAGGAAGGUGGGGAUGACGUCAAAUCAUCAUGCCCCUUAUGACCUGGGCUACACACGUGCUACAAUGGAUGGUACAACGAGUUGCGAACUCGCGAGAGUAAGCUAAUCUCUUAAAGCCAUUCUCAGUUCGGAUUGUAGGCUGCAACUCGCCUACAUGAAGUCGGAAUCGCUAGUAAUCGCGGAUCAGCAUGCCGCGGUGAAUACGUUCCCGGGCCUUGUACACACCGCCCGUCACACCAUGAGAGUUUGUAACACCCAAAGUCGGUGGGGUAACCUUUUAGGAACCAGCCGCCUAAGGUGGGACAGAUGAUUAGGGUGAAGUCGUAACAAGGUAGCCGUAGGAGAACCUGCGGUUGGAUC